AUCGAACGCUGGCGGCAGGCUUAACACAUGCAAGUCGAGCGAGCGGCGGACGGGUGAGUAAUGUCUGGGAAACUGCCUGAUGGAGGGGGAUAACAACUGGAAACGGUAGCUAAUACCGCAUACCAUCAGAUGUGCCCAGAUGGGAUUAGCUAGUAGGCGGGGUAACGGCUCACCUAGGCGACGUUCCCUAGCUGGUCUGAGAGGAUGACCAGCCCCACUGCACCUGAGACACGGUCCAGACUCCUACAGGAGGCAGCAGUGGGGAAUUUUGGACAAGGGGCGCAAGCCGGAUGCAGCCAUGCCGCGUGUGGGAAGAAGGCCUUCGGGUUGUAAAGCACUUUCAGCGAGUAGGCGUUACUCGCAGAAGAAGCACCGGCUAACUCCGUGCCAGCCGCCGCGGUAAUUC
rnacentral:rRNA from 1 species